CCUACGGGAGGCAGCAGUGGGGAAUAUUGGACAAUGGGGGCAACCCUGAUCCAGCCAUGCCGCGUGUGUGAAGAAGGCCCUCGGGUUGUAAAGCACUUUCAGUGAGGAAGAACGCCUGGUGGUUAAUACCCAUCAGGAAAGACAUCACUCACAGAAGAAGCACCGGCUAACUCCGUGCCAGCAGCCGCGGUAAUAUGGAGGGUGCGAGCGUUAAUCGGAAUUACUGGGCGUAAAGCGCGCGUAGGUGGCUUGAUAAGCCGGUUGUGAAAGCCCCGGGCUCAACCUGGGAACGGCAUCCGGAACUGUCAAGCUAGAGUGCAGGAGAGGAAGGUAGAAUUCCCGGUGUAGCGGUGAAAUGCGUAGAGAUCGGGAGGAAUACCAGUGGCGAAGGCGGCCUUCUGGACUGACACUGACACUGAGGUGCGAAAGCGUGGGUAGCAAACAGGAUUAGAUACCCUUGUAGUC
rnacentral:rRNA from 1 species